rnacentral:rRNA from 1 species
CAUCUAGGCGGUCAAUCAAGUCGAAGGUGAAAACUUGUGGCUCAACCAUAAGCUUGCCUACGAAACUGAUUAACUAGAGUACUGGAGAGGUGGACGGAACUACACGAGUAGAGGUGAAAUUCGUAGAUAUGUGUAGGAAUGCCGAUGAUGAAGAUAGUUCACUGGACAGAAACUGACGCUGAAGUGCGAAGCUAGGGGAGCAAACA